GACGAACGCUGGCGGCGUGCUUAACACAUGCGAGUCGAACGGAAAGGCCCUGCUUUUGUGGGGUGCUCGAGUGGCGAACGGGUGAGUAACACGUGAGUAACCUGCCCUUGACUUUGGGAUAACUUCAGGAAACUGGGGCUAAUACCGGAUAGGAGCUCCUGCUGCAUGGUGGGGGUUGGAAAGUUUCGGCGGUUGGGGAUGGACUCGCGGCUUAUCAGCUUGUUGGUGGGGUAGUGGCUUACCAAGGCUUUGACGGGUAGCCGGCCUGAGAGGGUGACCGGCCACAUUGGGACUGAGAUACGGCCCAGACUCCUACGGGAGGCAGCAGUGGGGAAUAUUGCACAAUGGGAGGAAGCCUGAUGCAGCAACGCCGCGUGCGGGAUGACGGCCUUCGGGUUGUAAACCGCUUUCGCCUGUGACGAAGCGUGAGUGACGGUAAUGGGUAAAGAAGCACCGGCUAACUACGUG
rnacentral:rRNA from 1 species